CGCUGGUUUUUUUUUCCGCGGUGAUA
rnacentral:miRNA from 14 species